AGAGUUUGAUCCUGGCUCAGAAUCAACGCUGGCGGCGUGCCUCAGACAUGCAAGUCGAACGAUUAAAGCUCCCUUCGGGGAGUGCAUAAAGUGGCGCACGGGUGAGUAACACGUAAGUAAUCUACCCUCGAGUGGGGAAUAACAGUCGGAAACGACUGCUAAUACCGCAUAAUGCAGCGGCACCUUAUGGUGACAGUUGUUAAAGGAGCAAUCCGCUUGAGGAGGAGCUUGCGGCAGAUUAGCUUGUUGGUAAGGUAACGGCUUACCAAGGCUACGAUCUGUAUCCGGCCUGAGAGGGCGGUCGGACACACUGACACUGAAUAACGGGUCAGACUCCUACGGGAGGCAGCAGUCGGGAAUUUUGGGCAAUGG
rnacentral:rRNA from 1 species